GGGCAUUUGGCACAGUGGUAGCGCGCACGCUUCGCAUUGUCAUCUGCGUGAGGUCCAGGGUUCAAUCCCCUGAAUGUCCA
rnacentral:tRNA from 1 species